rnacentral:rRNA from 1 species
GCCGCGGUAUUUUGACCGUGCGAAGGUAGCAUAAUCAUUAGUCUUUUAAUUGAAGGCUUGUAUGAAGGGUUGGACGAGAAAUAAGCUGUCUUUAUUGGAAAAAUAGAAUUUAACUUUUAAGUGAGAGGGCUUAAAUGUUCUAAAGGGACGAUAAGACCCUAUAAAGUUUGACAUUUUAUUCAUUAAAAAAUAAAAUAAUUAAUUAAUUUUUAUUAUUGGGGUAAUGUUUUGUUGGGGCGAUUAGAAUAUAAAAAAUUUAACUGUUUUAUAUUAAUACAAAGUUGUUUGAGUGUUUUGAUCCUUAAUAAAGGUAUUAGAGUAAAUUACUUUAGGGAUAACAGCGUAAUUUUUUUUGAGAGUUCUUAUCGACAAAAAAGUUUGCGACCUCGAUGUUGAAUUAAAGAAUUCUUUAUAGCGCAGAAGUUAUAAAAGAAGGUCUGUUCGACCUUUAAAUCUUUACAU